GCCUAACAUGUUAGCUCAGUUGGUUAGAGCAUGGUGCUUCUAAUGCCAAGGUUGCAGGCUAGAUCCCUGUACGGGACA